rnacentral:rRNA from 1 species
GUUGAACGCUGGCGGCAUGCUUUACACAUGCAAGUCGAACGGUAACAGGGAGCUUGCUCCGCUGACGAGUGGCGAACGGGUGAGUAAUGCGUCGGAACGUGCCGAGUAGUGGGGGAUAACGCAUCGAAAGGUGCGCUAAUACCGCAUACGAACUGAGGUUGAAAGUGGGGGACCUUCGGGCCUCACGCUAUUCGGGCGGCCGACGUCUGAUUAGCUAGUUGGUGAGGUAAAGGCUCACCAAGGCGACGAUCAGUAGCGGGUCUGAGAGGAUGAACAGCCACACUGGGACUGAGACACGGCCCAGACUCCUACGGGAGGAAGCAGUGGGGAAUUUUGGACAAUGGGCGCAAGCCUGAUCCAGCGAUGCCGCGUGCAGGAAGAAGGCCUUCGGGUUGUAAACUGCUUUUGUCAGGGAAGAAAUCCUCUAGGUUAAUACCCUUGGGGGGAUGACGGUACCUGAAGAAUAAGCACCGGCUAACUACGUGCCAGCCGCCGCCGUAAGAC